GCGGAUCACAUUAAGGAUUGUGAGGCACAUGAACAUAUCCUAGUAGAUUUACUGUAUAGAAUCACUCGUGCUUUGCUAUAUAGGGUGGGAGGCACCCACGGUCAAAUUUGGCAUUUGGUACCUCGGUUUGAGACCUACGGCUAAAUAUGAUAUUUAACUUUUAGCUUGUUUUUUCUUUUAUUUUUUCCUCAAUUCUUUUUCUCUUUUGCUUUUUAUUAUUACUAGUCUUAUGAUACGCGCUUUGCACGUGUAACUAAGUCAAUGAAUAGGUAAUGUUUUAGAAAAUUUUAUAAGUACUACUUUUAUAAUAUAUUUGUAUUAUAAAUUUAUAAAAAUGUAUAUUCCUUAAAAUAAAUAUAGUAUUAGUUAAAAAGGCUUAUCUACAAACCCUACCACGUUAAAUUUUUUAUUUUUCUGAUUUUCUUUCACCUCCAAUACUAUUCUUAUAAAAAUAAAUUUAGGUAUCCUCUAAAAAUUUUGACAACUUGAAGACUGUGAGCACGUGAUUUUUGCCUUAUAUGAAUUACUUCUACAAAUUCAAAACAAAAUAAUUUUUUUUUCAUUAUUAGCAAUUUUGUGAGUUUUGUGGCAUUUUCCGUUAAUUGUUUGCAUUUGUGUGUGAGUGUUUAUUUUAUUUAAUUAAUGAAAAAUAAAAAAAUACGUUGCAUUUGCAUUUAGGAUUUGACUUUGCAUUUUCAAGAAUUGAUUAUUAAUUAAUUAGUUGUUUUAAAAAUGGAAAAAUCAAAAAUAGUUUAUGUUGCACUUUUUAAAUAUUGGUAAUUUUCCCUUUUAAUUUAGAUCUCAAUUAAUUAUGGUAAUUAUUUAGGCUUAAUUAGUAUUUUUUGAUAAGUUAAUAUUAUUUAGUUAAGGAUUUUGGUUCCAAUUUUUGAAAGAAAAAAGAAGAAGAAGAAGAAGAAAACAAAUGGAAAUUAGGAAAAAUAAAAGAAAGAAAAAGAUAAAAGAAAGAGGAGUAAAAUCUGUUAGGCCAUCUCUCAUUUUUAUCCAGGCCCAAGCAAAAUUCACCCCUAUUACCCGCCCAAACCGGCCCAGACCUGUCACCCCUACCCGACCCGACCUAGCUUAACCAAAACGAUGUUGUUUCAUGCAGGGAUUAAUCAGAGCUGUUGGAUUUCAAUCAUCCAACGGCUUUAAUUAAUUCCCAACUUUAAUAUACCCAAAAAAUACCUCAGACCCCCUACCCCAAAUCAAAUUCACAGACCCAACCAUCCCUAAAUCGUCUCCGCCUUACUCCGCCCACCGAAAAUCGCCUCGCGGCGGUUCCGGCGGCUCAAUCACCUCCAAAUUGAUACCAUAGAAUCUCCAUGACUCCCUCAUACCAAAUCCAUAACGAGAUUCCCUCUAAUCUAGCCAGAAAUCGUCAAAUCUUAAAUCUAAGUUUGAACCCUAAAAAUUCAAACAUCAAUUUCCGUUGAAACUGAAGACAUGCAUCGAUCCAGGCCUCUGGCCUUUCAUGAUUAGAAGGCUGAUUCAUCACAAAACUGAUGUUGUUCAUUUAUUCUUUACAAAGAACAAGUGAUUAGCAUCAGUUUCGUGUGAGUCGUGAUAUCAAGGGUGAAUUCAAGCCUAUCUGGUGAGUUCCCUUUCGUUUUUCUGUUUCACCUUUUAUUCUUCUUCUUUUCUUCUUGUUUUCUUUCUUCAGCAUUCUUCUAAAUUAUUUCCAUUCACAAGUCUGUUUCCUUCAUCUGCAUUAAUCUUAUUUUAAUAGCAUUUUCUGAAUUUAUAAUCAUAUAAGAAAGGUUUAGGUUUAAUUGAAUUUGUCGAGGCUUAUUCGAAUAUGUUUUGGAAGUCGUUAGUUCCAUUUAGAGUCUUAUAGCAGAUUAAUUCAAUGAAUUAAUAUGAUUCAGUUGUUAGAUGUUUUCUUAAUUUUGAAGUGCAUUUGUAUUAGCUCAUUUGUUUCCUGUUUAUACGAAUUCAGAGUUUAGGAGUGAUAAAUAACAUAAGCUUUGAGGGUAAUUUGGAUAGUCUAGCCUAAGGAAACCUGUCAAUAAUUGAAUUAGAAAGCUUCUAAUAAGUGGUAGAGUUUAAGAAUGCACUACUGACUAAUUUAAAGAACUAAGUUAAGUGGAAUUAAUUAAAAAUUAUUGAAAGGGUAUUUGUGAAUCCAAGGGGGCAUUUUCUACUGCCUAUAUAGAGAUCAGAAUUGAAAGAAGGAAGGGGGGAGAAACGGACAUAAUAUAGAGUCCAAAGAAAAAAAACAGAGAGAAUAUAGGAGUUUAAGAAGGCAUCCAGAGAAAAGAGAUAGAGAGUUUUUUUUAGACAUAAAAUCCAGAAAAUACCAAAACAAUUGAAAUUCUACUGUGUUAUCAAACUUUUCAGUGAUCUUGAAGUUCUGAAUUACCAAAGCAAGUUCUGAUUCAUUUAGUGUUAAUAUAGAUUGAAUUUGGUUCUCUUUUAAGCGUUGGUUGGAAGUCUGCUUGGUUGUUAUUCAUUCGAAUUGUUUUUUGGGUUGUUUAACUCCAUUCUUGGGUUUGGAUUUGGUUCCUUGGCUGAUUUUGGUUGCUGAAUUCUGUUGUUUGAUGUUGGGUUGCUAAUUUCCUUUUGUUUUCUUUCAUUUCACUCUCCAAGUAUAUGUUCCUAGAUUCACAUCACCUGAAGUCUGAUAUUGAAAUAAAAUGAAAUAUGGAGUUCCAAAUGUUGGUUUCUGCCUGUUCAAAUCAAGUAGUUUAAUUUCAGUUUUUUUAGAGUUAAUUAAUGUGAUGUAUGCUCAACAUGGGAGCUAUUAGUCGACUUGCAUUUGUUGGAGUUAGUAUAACCCUACAGUAAUUUUAGUUGCUUCUGAAAUUCUUGUGGUUAUAGCUGGUUUUGAACUGCUGAGAUAUGGAACUUGGUAAAAUGUUGACCAUUAGCUAAGUUUUGUGUUUAAGCCAUGUUAGCUAAGUGUAUGGUAGUAUAAAACUGUCAAGGAACUGCAGCAGUAUACUUCUUCAAACAUCUAAGUUUUAGUUUUAAUUCUGGUUGAAAUAAUUGCUCUUGUUUGUAUGUAAUUUUGUAUGAGAACAGCUAUUGUGGUUAGAGGUAAAAUUGAUAUAGUCCAUUAUGUUUAAGGUAUUGGGGUACUUCAUUAAUUGCAGAUUUGGUUGUCAUGAGAGGUUCAGUUGUGUAUUCAUGGUAGAUGUAUUAUGAAUUUGCCUAUCAAAUUAAUUUAUAGACUAGUCUUCUUUCUUAACAAUAAAUUGCCAAUUUUAGUUUAGGAGUGUAAUUAGCCCAUUUCUUAUAACAAAGUAAUAUCAACAUUAUUACAAGGUCAGAAUUAUAAUAAUUUGGUAGUUGUAAAUAGUUUUCGCAAGUUUGGACAAUAAUUGGCUUGAUUUGUUCGUUUAAAACCCAAUCGUCACAAGCGAAUUAAUAGAAUAGUUAGGACUUAAUGUGUAGAAAUUAUGUGGAAUGCAGUUUUGGUUCGUGCAAUGAGCUCGUCUGGAUUGAAGUGAUGACUGCUUAAUUGUGUAAAAAUCUCGGUGCAUUGUAUGUGAUUAAAAUUGUGAUGUAGAUAAAUAGGUAAAUGUCAGAUGUGUACAUAGUAUGAACUGAUUUUAUGAGAAUUGAUUUCGGCACUUUAAAAGAGGAUAUACAAAGUUGAGUUUGCACUGUGUGAUGGUUAUUUCGUAAAACCAAUGUUAUUCAUAUUAACCAAAGUUCCUCCCAACUUUACACAUAAACCAUUUUGCAACUUUUAAACACAUACAAUUGGUCUCAAGCAUAGGAAAAGAACAAACAACUUAUGAAUGUGGUAAGCAAGCUUUAGGCACAUAAUUAAAUCAUGGGUAUGGUUUCCGUGGUGUGGUUGUGAUAUUUAAUUUCAAAUUAAUUUUGAAUAUGCAUAUCCAUAGUUCACUUAGUUGGAGGCUUUUUCCUUUAAUAAAAUUGAGGUGUGCCGUGCCAAAUAAAAUCUCAAAAUGCAUUGCCUUUAUUUAAUUAAUUUUAAUCCUUAGAAAUCGAGGCGUGCCAUUUUAGUCAAAUUUUCCAUGGCCCUCGCAAACUUUAAAAUGCGUAGUUGCUUUAGGCGCGCUAUUUUAAAAAAGUACCUUCCUAAACUCGGGUGUGCAUUUCAUGUGGCCCAAAUCUAAAUCUUAACAACGUUAAAUAAAAUGUCUCGGAUUGCAGGUGCAUUUCAUGUGGCGUGGUCCAAAGACGUGUUUUAGAUGACGUUGAACUAUUCCUUAAAAUAAUUAAAAGCGGUUUUAAAGUUAAAAUGUACAUAGUUUUAAAAGUAUUUUAAAAUCAGAUAAAUAGGCCAAAUAUAACAGUUGAGUGACCGUGCUAGAACCACGGAACUCGGGAAUGCCUAACACCUUCUCCCGGGUUAACAGAAUUCCUUACCCGAAUUUCUGGUUCGCGGACUGUAAUAAUAUUUUCUCGAUUUGGGAUUUGAACCGGUGACUUGGGACACCAUAAAUUAUCCCAAGUGGCGACUCUGAUUCUUAGAUCAAUAAUCUUGUUUCGAUUGUCACUUUAAGUUGGAAAAAAACUCCCUUAUACCCUUUCCGGGGUAAGUAAAAAAGGAGGUGUGACAAAGACAAAUAAUUAAUUAAAUUUUUAGACUUAAUUAUUUGGCCUUAACAUUAAAGGAACUAUUUUAGUUUUUGUUGAUUCAAAUUCUUAAUAUUAGCUCAUCCGAAGUUUUAAAUAUUUAAUUGUAACAUGAAAGGGAUUACAAUUGUGUUACAUUGUUCAAAUAAGAAAAUUAUUAAAAUAAUUAAAAUUUAACUUAUUUAAAAUACUGAAUGCUAAAAUUUUCUACAUAGUUCAAAUUCAAAAAAUUAAAUUUUAGUUAACUUUUAGGUCUUAUAUAUUUUAAAAAUUAAUAUGAAAAAUAUUAUAGUUAAUUAUAUUUAGAAAGGAUUAAUAAACUAUUGGCUAAGAUAGAAGAUCUAAUAUAAGUCACAAAAUUACAUACUGCUACUAUGUUUGACCCCAAAAAAUAUAAUUUGAUACAACAUUUUAUUAUAGCAUUCCAUAAGAUUUUGUUUAUUGAAUCCUUAAACAAUUUUUUAAGUUAAGUAUUUAGUGUCUAUCAUUCCAUAAAAUUCCACAAAUAAGCAUUAAAAUAGUUCCCGUAACAAUGGUUGCAUCUGUAUAAUUUUUAAUUUUUACGGAAAAUGUAGAAGAAUUUUACUUGCUCCAACGUGUAAUGCUUUUUCUCUUUGUCUUCCUACCUUCGUUUAGUAGUCUAUAUAAGUAAAAUUUUAUUUGAGUUAUUAGUCUACAUAAGUAAAAUUUUAUUUAUUUGAGUUUAAGUUCUAAAUAUUAGGAUUUGUACAUAAUUUAAAUAAGGAGGAUUUUGAUUAUCAAACUUUUAGCUAAAUUCGAAGUUUAUAAUAUUAGGAAAAUAAUUUAAAUUAUUAUUUUAUUCAGUGUGAAAUUUAUUUUUAAAAGGUAAAAAAUGCGAACGACGUUUUGUUAAGGAUCUUCAUGCUUUUAAUAUAGUACUAGUCUCUUUAGACGUGCGUUGCCACGUCGUCUAUAUAAUUAUUAUCAUUUAGUGAAAACUUUGUGUAAUAAAUAGUAAUAUUUUUAACCGCAUUAAUAUUCAGAACAUAUUUUGUUGAACUAUGACAUAAAAAUUAAAGCAGUAGAAAUCUAACUGCAUAAAUUUCAAUUUGCUUUCAUUCAUCAAAUUGAUGUCAGAAAGUAUGUGAUUGCUCCAUUGCGUGAUAUAGUUCGUCGUGCUUGUAUCUAUUCUAUCUUUGUUUUCGACCGAAUACGGCUGGUUUUAUAUAAAGAUAAGAGUAUGUCUCUUAAGUUUUUUUUGUUAUAAAUCGCGGAAAGACUUAUACAAAUAGUAAGUCUCUUGUAUAUGAAAAACUCAUCUAUUACUUAUUCGAGGGGGUAAUUUAAUUUUUUAAAGGUAUAAAACUCCAUCAAUUACAUCUAUAUCUAUAUAUAUAUAAAUAAAGUUGGGAAUAGGAAAGAUGAUGUGGCAUCUUGCUAUGAUCAGCAUUUAUAUUUAUUUAUUUUCUCCAUUUUUUGCAAUUUUUGCUUCAUUCUCUGUCAUUUGUUUGGAUUUUUUUAGUAGUUUGCUUCUGUUGUCCUCUCCUUUAAUUACUUAUGUAUUGCUGUAAGUAACGGUGUUGUAAGUAACGAAGGCAUUAAAGAGGUGUGACUUUUGAGGCCAACGAAUAGCAGCGGGAAAGGAGGAAAUUCAUUGAUCCAAAAGUAUGGUGCUAUAAUGUAACGGUGAAGGCAAUGAAUAAUAGUAGCAGUAAAUGAGGAACCAAAUAGUUAUUUUCUUCCUAAGACAAAAUAUCUCUUUACAGUAUAUAGCACUGAUAACAUAGAGAAUGCUGAGUUCAUUGUUCAUUCCUCUUGAAAAGCACACACCAAAUAUAUAUCUGAUACACCAUCAUAAGUUUCAGUCGCAUGGCCGAGUAAAAUGCCAGUCAAAUAACAAUUUCUUACUGCUCUUCUUCUAAAGAUUAGAGUUAUUAGCAGACAGUUUUCUGCGAUGUUUCUCACAUUCACUUGGAUCCAACCAAUUGAGAAGAUGCCAUUAUCGACAUUCCAGUGAAUGUAUGAUCAGACAUUACGUUUUUGUUUUUUGAAGACAAACUUUCAAAAUGUUUUGGUAUUUAAUUAUUGAGGUGCCGAGGUCGUACUAUGUGUGAUGUUUCACAUACUAAUUACUACAAUCUAUGUUCCCAGUUCCCGCCCUAUAAGGGAUUAGCUUGCUUAUGUUUCAAAACUAAUUACUACUAAUUGAUCAAGUCUUUAUGUCAAACCUGAUAGUGACAAACUGUUGUGACAAGUUUAUCAUAAUUGCUGGUUGUUCUUUAGUUUUUGUCUUGCCUUAAGUAAUUUUUUCAGAACAUGCUCUCUUCCCAGAAGAACGGAUCGUACGACAAGGUAAAUUAUUCAAGCAGACAUGUAAAGCUAUGGCUAUGCGAGUUUGCCAACUGAGGACGUGGUCGUAUCACUAACUGAAGAAACAAAGACUCCAAGAAGCUACACGUCCUUAAGCCAUGAAGCAACCAAAUACAAAUAUGUAAUCUAUCUUUUGUUGCUUAUUUUAGUAUUACAAGUAUGUACCCUCAAAUUAAGAACAAGAUUUCACCAUUGUUUAACCAAAAAUCUGAGUUUUUGGUCAAAGCUAAAAAGAAAUUCGGGUUACUGAUAAUCAAGAGACAAAAAUAAAAUACUUUUGAGAAUGAUGGUAAAAC
rnacentral:lncRNA from 1 species